UCACUGCCUAGAUAACGGAUCGGUCUCUUCCACCAUAUUUCCCUCGUGUUCAGCACACUAAAAGGGUAAACUUAAAACAACAUCAUGGCUGAUCCAGAAGGAAAAACAGCUGAGGUUGUAGAGGAGGCUGAUGAGGUUGAGGAUGUUGAAGAAGAAGAAUGUGAGGAGAUCCAAAAUGUCUCGCCUCCUGGACUGGUAGGUCUACUGAAGAGUCCACAGGUUCUGGCUGCUGUACAGGAAAGACUGGAUUAUCUUCAAGGUGCACCAUCAGGCUACAUACAAAGUUUACCCAAAUCUGUUAAGCGUAGAAUCAAAGCCUUGAAAAAGCUGCAGUUUGAAGCAGCCAAGAUAGAGGCCGAGUUCUACAAGGAGGUGCAUGACCUGGAAUGCAAAUAUGCAUCAUUGUACACCCCUCUCUUUGACAAGAGGAAAGAUGUUGUGACGGCAGCAAAGGAACCAACUGAUGAGGAAUGUGACUGGCCCAGUGACGACGAAAAAGAAGAGAAAGAUGAUGUAAAAUUAGCUGAGGAUGUAAAGAACAAGGUCAAAAUAGAUGACGCUGAAAAGACAGAGGAGAAAAAAGACAAUGAAGGUGCCGACGUCAAAGGAAUCCCUGGUUUCUGGUUAACAGUGUUCAAAAAUGUAGAGAUGCUUUCUGAAAUGAUACAGGAUCAUGAUGAGCCUAUACUCAACUGUCUACAGGAUGUAAAGGUUAAAUUUUCUGAAGUAGAAUCAAGUAUGGGCUUUAUUCUGGAAUUUAUUUUCGAAACAAAUGACUUUUUCUCAAACACUGUUUUAACUAAAAACUAUACAAUGAAAUCAGAGCCAGAUGAAUCGGACCCAUUCUCUUUUGAGGGCCCCGAAAUUGUGAAAUGUGAAGGAUGUCAAAUAGAUUGGAAAAAAGGCAAAAAUGUAACGGUGAAAACCAUAAAAAAGAAACAAAAGCACAAAGGACGUGGUACAACACGGACAGUCACAAAAACAGUACAGAACGAUUCAUUCUUCAACUUCUUUUCACCUCCAACAGUACCAGAAGGAGAGGAAGAAGAUAUGGAUGAAGAUCUGGAGGCCCUGUUAGCAGCAGACUUUGAGAUUGGUCACUUUAUACGGGACAGAAUCGUGCCACGGGCUGUGUUAUAUUUCACAGGGGAAGCAUUAGAGAAUGAUGAUGAUUUUGAUGAGGAAGGAGAGGAAGAGGAUGGAGAGGAGGGAGAUUAUGAUGAGGACGCAGACCCUGAUUAUAACCCACAGGUAAAUUGAUGUGACCUCUCUUGUGUCAUAUGCACAUGCUUCCGUGCAUGUGCAUAACAUACACACAGGCUGAUUCUCAAAAACCAGAAGAGUGCAAACAACAGUGAUUUAUAACAGUGCAAAACAGAAAUAAACAAAACACUCCAGGAUUCUUCAGAUGAAUUUUCUGAAAGUACUGAGAGAAAAAAACUAAACAAUUUAUACAAACAGUUAUGUGAAAGAAAAAACUCUUCUGUGAUGCAAGAUUGCGCUAGUUUUGAAGAACUGUUAAUGACCUUUGCUAGUACUGAAUGACCUUCACCUGUGUUGAACUUGACCUUGGCUGAUUUUUUUGGUGUGUUGUGGCUGGCGUAUCAGCCGUCUGUGCUGUCAUGAACUGCUCCUCUAUGACCCACCUUGCCUCACAUAUUAGCCUGUACAUGUCUCCCCAGAACGGUUUAUUCUGUGUUUAUUUAAUUUUUGCAUAUCUUGUCUCUACCACUUUAUUUUUCCCAAUGACGGUAAAAUUAUUGUAUGUAUUUCAUUAUCUUUUUGUUGUUUCUAUAAGUUGUGAACACAGAGUAGCUAACACUUUUUGAAGGGAUUAAUUAGAAGUAACUUUCUGUGAAGGUAAAGACAAGAAUAAAAACACUUGUAAGUCGUCCGUGAUUGUGUGAAAAUUACAAAAUUGUUUAUCAACUUCCUGAUAUAAAUGUGAUAUGAUAUUUCAAUAUAUUUCGUUGAAAUAGCUGCAAAAAAUAUAUAUGUCGGGACUGGAGGUAAUGACGACUUAAAAAUAUACAAAUAAAAUGUUGGUGUAUAGAUCUUAUCAAAUCAUGUAUUUUCUUACAUAACUCAUUCAAAUCAGGUGAGAUGACAAAUCUACCUAUGUAGUUAUUGUGCGUAAGACAUUAUGAUUAUUUUAGUGAAGAUUUUGCUGUAUUGUUGGAUAUAGUCAUAUGAAGUUGUCCCCAGUUCUUUGUAACUGUGUUACAGCUAAGUAUUAUGGAAUGGAAGGUUAAGUACACACACUUCUUAACUCCUUCACCCCUGAAGACACAUUUGAACACUCCAAAUUCAAAGGUUGGAAUAGUUCAUUAUGAAACUUCAGGGUUGAAGGAGUUAAUAGCUGUUUUUAUACAUAUUAAGAAGAAUUGGAUCUCGUGUGCUUAAAUUAAAUGUUCUUAUUUGAAAAACAAAUCAUUUUACUCCUGUUAUUGUAGCAUGCCCAGUACUACUGAAGUAUCUAGGGUUAUUCAAAAAUAAAUUGUACAGCAAGGGUUCACAGUUAUUCAGAGACUCCAUCAACUGAAAAAAUACAAGGGCUAUGUUUUGAAAUAUUUAUGUAUAUAAUUUACUGUCGGAUUUUAAGAUGAGUAUGCAUUUAUCCUUAACAUUUUUUGAUCCUCUGGCAAAAAUUUGCCUGGAUCCUGUAAAUUUCGAAACAACACAAUUCCUUUCCCUGCUAUACAAUAAAUUCUGGAAUAGCCCUCUACUUGAUAAUUAUUGCUCCUUUGUUCUUUUGUUCCGAUAGUGUACGCAGUAUGUAGGCAUACACUGAUGUGCUUGUUUGAUAUAAAACAUUGAUCAUGUUCAAAAGGGUCUUUGACACUACAUCAUUCAUGCAUUGAUUUUUUUUUUAUAUGUAUAUAUAAAUGGCGAUUUUACUUUCUUCAAAAUUUCAAGCUUUUUUGAAAAUCAAGUAUUAGAAAAUUUAAUGUGUUUAAUUCCGAGGAAAUCACAUGUAAAAAUGGCCCACAGCCAUUACUUGCCUUACUGUCGGUCAUUAAAUCUCCAACUUCAGCUGUCAUCUUUCCUCUAAUCUUUCCCGUGAAUAGAUUUAUAUUUAUGACCACAAUACAUUUGCUUUUAACGGAUAUCUGCAUGAAUGUUGUACAGUAAAAACAAGAGGAACAUCACAUCGUUGUCUCCUUUUAGAAUAUUUAGAAUAUUUAUGCAAGAUUUCCGCUUUAAUAUGUCUUCAAAUUUUAAUUCCCUUGAAACAAAAUGAUAACGAAACGAAAAAUUGUAUUUGUCAGGGGGGUUUCAUUCUUAGUUGGUGAUUUGCUCAGUCUAUUCAUACACACACUUUAAGUAAAUGCAGAUUUCUACAAUAUAUUCUGUUUCACCAAGAGAUGUUUAAUUAGUCGGUACUCUCCCGUUUGGUUGUUAAGCUGGCAUUUCGAAAAUUUAGUACAUCGUGCAUGUUGUUAAAUUAUGAUUUCUCUGUUCUGACUGCUAUUGUUUUCCAUCCGAAAUUUUGAUUUCAGUUUAUUAGUAGUAAUAAAAUGAAUGAACUCGUGAAAUUUUAGUGGUAUCAGUUCUGCUAUGAAAUCUAAAAAAAAAAAAAAAAAAAAAUUGUUACAGCUUUGUUCAGUGAGGUACAUGUUUUUUUUGUGAUAUUUUAAGUGGUAAAAUAUAUUUGAUGUUUGUUGAUGGAAACUGUAAAAGACAAAAUUGCACACAAGUGAUUGGGACCAGCAGACUUUGUACACUGAUCAGAAUUUUAAAGAGAAUGAAGACUUGCAAACAAUAGACAUCCAAUGUAUGUGGUGUUUAAUUACUGAUUCAAAUGUACACUAGAUGAUUGAAAGCUUGGUGCAUCCUAAUACAAUAAGGGCUGUUCCAGAAUUACCUGGAGGGGAGGGGUGGGAGACCCCCUUUUUUGAACCCCCACCAACAAAAAAACAUUUGUGAUUUACUAGAAGGAAUCGGAUCCUGCUUUAACACAACCAAUCUUAAUGUAUUGAUACAGGUGCCCCCCAACUCCCCCUUAGGAUAAAUUAUGGAAUAGCCCCUAUGGUAUUAGAAAAUAACUGUACCCUGUCUGGAAGCUUUACAAGUAAGGCAUGGUAUGUUUUCAUCAGUACCCGUCCCGGUUUUUGCAGUAGCUGUUUAACCGUUUUUGAGCUCAUUAUUUAUAAAGUCUAAGACAGUAUUGAUUAGAUAUGGAUACAAAGGGCAUUUGUUUGCAUAAUGAUAUUGCUUAUUAAACAUUACAAAACAAUUUAUGUGAUUGAGGAAAUUGUACUAUAUUAAAAGCACAUUGACAUUGUCAUGGGAA